rnacentral:lncRNA from 1 species
CUCGGCUCAGUGGAGGAAAGGAAAAAUAAAAACCAAAACAAAAGAGCAUUAGUAACUCCAGCAGAAAUAGCGUAAAUAAUUAUUUAAACAUAAGAACCAUAAAUAAAAUAGCAUGCAAAUAUACUAGAUAGUAACUACCAUAAAUAACUAUCAAAGGGAGACACAAACCAAUGCACAAAUCUUUUACGGAUAGGCCUGCCAAGCCUCACCCAACCCCGGGUGAGGAGUACGAAACACUCUAGGAGCCCCUAUCCUACAACCCUGAUACUAGACAUCCACACUUUCCCUCUUGGCAAUGACCUGGGAUCCAAUCAUCACGUCCGUGCCGACUUCGCUCGGCUCGGCGCUAAACUUGCACUCCAGGUAUUCUGUAUUAGAUCUGCUUAUUUUGAGACCCUUAGCCUCGAGAGUCUGUCUCCAUACCUCUAACCUCUCAAUAACAUCGACCCUCGUCCCGUCUAUCAAAACUAUGUCGUCAGCAAAUAGCAUACACCAAGGCACGUCCCCUUGAAUAUGUCGGGUUAGAUCAUCCAUCACCAAGGCAAACAAGAGAGGGCUAAGUGUCGAUCCUUGAUGGAGCCCCAUAACCACCGGAAA